rnacentral:rRNA from 1 species
GACGAACGCUGGCGGCGUGCUUAACACAUGCAAGUCGUACGGUAAGGCCCUUUCGGGGGUACCCGAGUGGCGAACGGGUGAGUAACACGUGAGUAACCUGCCCACAACUUUGGGAUAACGCUAGGAAACUGGUGCUAAUACUGGAUAUGUGCUCCUGCUGCAUGGUGGGGGUUGGAAAGCUCCGGCGGUUGUGGGUGGACUCGCGGCCUAUCCGCUUGUUGGUGGGGUAGUGGCCUACCAAGGCGGCGACGGGUAGCCGGACUGAGAGGGUGACCGGCCACAUUGAGACUGAGAUACGGCCCAGACUCCGACGGGAGGCAGAAGUGGGGAAGAUUGCACAAUGGGCGCAAGCCUGAUGCAGCAACGCCGCGUGCGGGAUGACGGCCUUCGGGUUGUAAACCGCGUUCAGCAGGGACGAAGCUUUUUGUGACGGUACCUGCAGAAGAAGCACCGGCUAACUACGUG